CCUACGGGGGGCAGCAGUGAGGAAUAUUGGUCAAUGGGCGAGAGCCUGAACCAGCCAAGUAGCGUGAAGGAUGACUGCCCUACGGGUUGUAAACUUCUUUUAUAAAGGAAUAAAGUGAGGCACGUGUGCCUUUUUGUAUGUACUUUAUGAAUAAGGAUCGGCUUACUCCGUGCCAGCAGCCGCGGUAAUACGGAGGAUCCGAGCGGUAUCCGGAUUUAUUGGGUUGAAAGGGAGCGUAGAUGGGUUUUUAAGUCAGUUGUGAAAGUUUGCGGCUUAACCGUAAAAUUGCAAUUGAAACUGGCAGCCUUGAGUACAGUUGAGGUAGGCGGAAUUCGUGGUGUAGCGGUGAAAUGCUUAGAUAUCACGAAGAACUCCGAUUGCGAAGGCAGCCUACUAAACUUCCACUGACAUUGAGGCUCGAAAGUGUGGGUAUCAAACAGGAUUAGAUACCCCAGUAGUC
rnacentral:rRNA from 1 species